GUAGUCCACGCCGUAAACGGUGGGUACUAGGUGUGGGGGACAUUCCACGUUCUCCGUGCCGCAGCUAACGCAUUAAGUACCCCGCCUGGGGAGUACGGCCGCAAGGCUAAAACUCAAAGGAAUUGACGGGGCCCCGCACAAGCGGCGGAGCAUGCGGAUUAAUUCGAUGCAACGCGAAGAACCUUACCUGGGUUUGACAUAUACCGGAAACAUCUAGAGAUAGGUGCCCCUUUUUGGUCGGUAUACAGGUGGUGCAUGGCUGUCGUCAGCUCGUGUCGUGAGAUGUUGGGUUAAGUCCCGCAACGAGCGCAACCCUCGUCCAAUGUUGCCAGCGGGUAAUGCCGGGGACUCAUUGGAGACCGCCGGGGUCAACUCGGA
rnacentral:rRNA from 1 species